rnacentral:rRNA from 1 species
UCGAACGGAAAGGCCCUGCUUGCAGGGUACUCGAGUGGCGAACGGGUGAGUAACACGUGGGUGAUCUGCCCUGCACUUCGGGAUAAGCCUGGGAAACUGGGUCUAAUACCGGAUAGGAGCCAUUUUUAGUGUGAUGGUUGGAAAGUUUUUUCGGUGUAGGAUGAGCUCGCGGCCUAUCAGCUUGUUGGUGGGGUAAUGGCCUACCAAGGCGGCGACGGGUAGCCGGCCUGAGAGGGUGGACGGCCACAUUGGGACUGAGAUACGGCCCAGACUCCUACGGGAGGCAGCAGUGGGGAAUAUUGCACAAUGGGCGCAAGCCUGAUGCAGCGACGCCGCGUGGGGGAUGACGGCCUUCGGGUUGUAAACUCCUUUCGCUAGGGACGAAGCUUUUUGUGACGGUACCUAGAUAAGAAGCACCGGCUAACUACGUGCCAGCAGCCGCGGUAAUACGUAGGGUGCGAGCGUUGUCCGGAAUUACUGGGCGUAAAGGGCUCGUAGGUGGUUUGUCGCGUCGUCUGUGAAUUCCGGGGCUUAACUCCGGGCGUG